GACGGAGGAGGCAAGCGUUAUCCGGAAUCACUGGGCGUAAAGGGCGCGUAGGCGGCCUAGCAAGUCUGGUGUGAAAGCCCAGGGCUCAACCCUGGAAGGGCACUGGAAACUGUUAGGCUUGAGUUCCGGAGAGGAGGGGGGAAUUCCCGGUGUAGCGGUGAAAUGCGUAGAUAUCGGGAGGAAUACCGGUGGCGAAGGCGCCCCUCUGGACGGAAACUGACGCUGAGGCGCGAAAGCGUGGGGAGCAAACAGG
rnacentral:rRNA from 1 species